ACCUACGGGGCGCAGCAGUGGGGAAUAUUGCACAAUGGGGGAAACCCUGAUGCAGCAACGCCGCGUGAGUGAAGAAGUCAUUCGUGAUGUAAAGCUCUAUCAGCAGGGAAGAAAAUGACGGUACCUGAGUAAGAAGCCCCGGCUAACUACGUGCCAGCAGCCGCGGUAAUACGUAGGGGGCAAGCGUUAUCCGGAUUUACUGGGUGUAAAGGGAGCGUAGACGGUCCUGCAAGCCAGAUGUGAAAGCCCGGGGCUCAACCCCGGGACUGCAUUUGGAACUGUAAGGCUAGAGUGUCGGAGAGGCA
rnacentral:rRNA from 1 species